UACGUAGGGUGCAAGCGUUAAUCGGAAUUACUGGGCGUAAAGCGUACGCAGGCGGCUAUGUAAGACAGGUGUGAAAUCCCCGGGCCUAACCUGGGAACUGCAUUUGUGACUGCAUAGCUAGGGUCCGUCAGAGGGGGGUGGAAUUCCACGUGUAGCAGUGAAAUGCGUAGAGAUGUGGAGGAACACCGAUGGCGAAGGCAGCCCCCUGGGAUGAGACUGACGCUCAUGUACGAAAGCGUGGGGAGCAAACAGG
rnacentral:rRNA from 1 species